UUUCCUACGGGAGGCAGCAGUGGGGAAUAUUGCACAAUGGGGGAAACCCUGAUGCAGCGACGCCGCGUGAGUGAAGAAGUAUUUCGGUACGUAAAGCUCUAUCAGCAGGGAAGAAAAUGACGGUACCUGACUAAGAAGCCCCGGCUAACUACGUGCCAGCAGCCGCGGUAAUACGUAGGGGGCAAGCGUUAUCCGGAUUUACUGGGUGUAAAGGGAGCGCAGACGGCAGUGCAAGUCUGGAGUGAAAGCCCGGGGCUCAACCCCGGAACUGCUCUGGAAACUGUGCGGCUAGAGUACUGGAGGGG
rnacentral:rRNA from 1 species